rnacentral:rRNA from 1 species
GACGAACGCUGGCGGCGUGCCUAAUACAUGCAAGUAGAAAGCAGUUGCGCACGGGUGAGUAUCGCGUAGGUAACUGCCUCAUAGCGGGGGAUAACUAUUGGAAACGAUAGCUAAUACCGCAUCCUGUGAGAUGGACCUGCGUUGUAUUAGCUAGUUGGUGAGGUAAAGGCUCACCAAGGCGACGAUACCUACCCGACCUGAGAGGGUGAUCGGCCACACUGGGGAUGAGACACGGCCCAGAAUCCUACGGGAGGCAGCAGUAGGGAAUCUUCGGCAAUGGACGGAAGUCUGACCGAGCCAAUGCGCGUGAGUGAAGAAGGUUUUCGGAUAGUAAAGCUCUGUUGUGAGAGAAGCGGUAACUAACAAGAAAGGGACGGCUAACUACGUGCCAGCAGCCGCGGUAAUAC